CAGAGGUCCCAAGCGUUGUUCGGAUUCACUGGGCGUAAAGGGUGCGUAGGUGGUUGGGUAAGUCUGAUGUGAAAUCUCCGGGCUCAACCCGGAAAUGGCAUUGGAUACUACUCGACUCGAGGAUUGGAGGGGGGACUGGAAUACUUGGUGUAGCAGUGAAAUGCGUAGAUAUCAAGUGGAACACCAGUGGCGAAGGCGAGUCCCUGGACAACUCCUGACACUGAGGCACGAAAGCUAGGGGAGCAAACAGGAUUAGAUACCCUGGUAGUCCUAGCUGUAAACGGUGCACGUUUGCUGUAAAAGGAAUCGACCCUUUUGUGGCGAAGCUAACGCGUUAAACGUGCCGCCUGGGAAGUACGGUCGCAAGAUUA
rnacentral:rRNA from 1 species